rnacentral:rRNA from 1 species
AUUGAACGCUGGCGGCAUGCCUUACACAUGCAAGUCGAACGGUAACAGGUCUUCGGAUGCUGACGAGUGGCGAACGGGUGAGUAAUACAUCGGAACGUGCCCAGACGUGGGGGAUAACGAGGCGAAAGCUUUGCUAAUACCGCAUACGAUCUAAGGAUGAAAGCAGGGGACCGCAAGGCCUUGCGCGUUUGGAGCGGCCGAUGGCAGAUUAGGUAGUUGGUGGGAUAAAAGCUUACCAAGCCGACGAUCUGUAGCUGGUCUGAGAGGACGACCAGCCACACUGGGACUGAGACACGGCCCAGACUCCUACGGGAGGCAGCAGUGGGGAAUUUUGGACUAUGGGCGAAAGCCUGAUCCAGCAAUGCCGCGUGCAGGAUGAAGGCCUUCGGGUUGUAAACUGCUUUUGUACGGAACGAAAAGGCUCUGGCUAAUACCUGGGGCACAUGACGGUACCGUAAGAAUAAGCACCGGCUAACUACGUG